AUCCUGGCUCAGGAUGAACGCUAGCGACAGGGCUUAACACAUGCAAGUCGAGGGGCAGCGGGGGCGUAGCAAUAUGCCUGCCGGCGACCGGCGCACGGGUGAGUAACACGUAUGUAACCUGCCCUAUGCAGGGGGAUAACCCGGAGAAAUCCGGCCUAAUACCGCGUAACACCUUAGGGGAGCAUUCUCUUGAGGUUAAAGGAGAGAUCCGGCAUAGGAUGGACAUGCGUCGCAUUAGGUAGACGGCGGGGUAACGGCCCACCGUGCCGACGAUGCGUAGGGGUUCUGAGAGGAAGGCCCCCCACACUGGUACUGAGACACGGACCAGACUCCUACGGGAGGCAGCAGUGAGGAAUAUUGGUCAAUGGCCGAGAGGCUGAACCAGCCAAGUCGCGUGAGGGAAGAAUGUCCUAAGGAUUGUAAACCUCUUUUGUCGGGGAGCAAAAAGGCUCUGCGGAGUCGUAUUGAGAGUACCCGAAGAAAAAGCAUCGGCUAACUCCGUGCCAGCAGCCGCGGUAAUACGGAGGAUGCGAGCGUUAUCCGGAUUUAUUGGGUUUAAAGGGUGCGCAGGCGGCGUGUCAAGCAAGCGGUAAAAUAGCGGGGCUCAACCCCGUCGAGCCGUUUGAACUGGCGCGCUUGAGUUCAGGCGAGGUAGGCGGAAUUCGUGGUGUAGCGGUGAAAUGCAUAGAUAUCACGAAGAACUCCGAUUGCGAAGGCAGCUUACCAGUCUGCGACUGACGCUCAGGCACGAAAGUGUGGGUAUCGAACAGGAUUAGAUACCCUGGUAGUCCACACAGUAAACGAUGAGCGCUAGGUGUCCGGGUCGCAUGAGACUUGGGUGCCCGAGCGAAAGCGUUAAGCGCUCCACCUGGGGAGUACGCCGGCAACGGUGAAACUCAAAGGAAUUGACGGGGGCCCGCACAAGCGGAGGGAACAUGUGGUUUAAUUCGAUGAUACGCGAGGAACCUUACCCGGGCUCAAACGACUCAGGAAUAUAUUGGAAACGAUGUAGCCAGCAAUGGUCUGAGUCGAGGUGCUGCAUGGUUGUCGUCAGCUCGUGCCGUGAGGUGUCGGCUUAAGUGCCAUAACGAGCGCAACCCCUACCGCCAGUUGCCAACGGGUAAAGCCGGGAACUCUGGCGGGACUGCCGGCGCAAGCUGCGAGGAAGGCGGGGAUGACGUCAAAUCAGCACGGCCCUUACGUCCGGGGCGACACACGUGUUACAAUGGCAGGUACAGCGGGAAGCCACCUGGUGACAGGGAGCGGAACCCGAAAGCCUGUCUCAGUUCGGAUUGGAGUCUGCAACUCGACUCCAUGAAGCUGGAUUCGCUAGUAAUCGCGCAUCAGCCAUGGCGCGGUGAAUACGUUCCCGGGCCUUGCACACACCGCCCGUCA
rnacentral:rRNA from 1 species